GUACUGACUGUUGCCCAUAGACUUAACACUGUCAUGGACUCUGAUAAAAUUAUGAUAUUGGAUUCAGGAUCACUGAUUGAAUACGGUUCUCCUCACCUUCUUGUUAAUCAACCAUCAUCUUAUCUUUGUAUGCUAGUAAAUAAAAGUGGAUCAGCUAAUGCCACGAGGUUGAGAAGCAUGGCAUUUGAUGCAUAUCAAAAAGGGUUGGAUGGAACAAAACUCCAGAAUAAGUCCAGGAAGAGAAAAAUGAUAACAGUAAAAUCAAAUAAUUAAUGAACCAUAGUUAAUUCUUGUUUAGUAACUUACAUUCAUUUGUUAUUUUGGCUUUAAUCAUACAUAACAGAAAAAAA